GAUGAACGCUAGCUACACGCUUAACACAUGCAAGUCGAGGGGCAUCAGGAAGAAAGCUUGCUUUCUUUGCUGGCGACCGGCGCACGGGUGAGUAACACGUAUCCAACCUGCCCUUUACUCGGGGAUAGCCUUUCGAAAGAAAGAUUAAUACCCGAUGGCAUAAUGAUUCCCCAUGGUUUCAUUAUUAAAGGAUUCCGGUAAAGGAUGGGGAUGCGUUCCAUUAGGUUGUUGGUGAGGUAACGGCUCACCAAGCCUUCGAUGGAUAGGGGUUCUGAGAGGAAGGUCCCCCACAUUGGAACUGAGACACGGUCCAAACUCCUACGGGAGGCAGCAGUGAGGAAUAUUGGUCAAUGGGCGCUAGCCUGAACCAGCCAAGUAGCGUGAAGGAUGAAGGCUCUAUGGGUCGUAAACUUCUUUUAUAUAAGAAUAAAGUGCAGUAUGUAUACUGUUUUGUAUGUAUUAUAUGAAUAAGGAUCGGCUAACUCCGUGCCAGCAGCCGCGGUAAUACGGAGGAUCCGAGCGUUAUCCGGAUUUAUUGGGUUUAAAGGGAGCGUAGGUGGACUGGUAAGUCAGUUGUGAAAGUUUGCGGCUCAACCGUAAAAUUGCAGUUGAUACUGUCAGUCUUGAGUACAGUAGAGGUGGGCGGAAUUCGUGGUGUAGCGGUGAAAUGCUUAGAUAUCACGAAGAACUCCGAUUGCGAAGGCAGCUCACUGGACUGCAACUGACACUGAUGCUCGAAAGUGUGGGUAUCAAACAGGAUUAGAUACCCUGGUAGUCCACACAGUAAACGAUGAAUACUCGCUGUUUGCGAUAUACAGUAAGCGGCCAAGCGAAAGCAUUAAGUAUUCCACCUGGGGAGUACGCCGGCAACGGUGAAACUCAAAGGAAUUGACGGGGGCCCGCACAAGCGGAGGAACAUGUGGUUUAAUUCGAUGAUACGCGAGGAACCUUACCCGGGCUUAAAUUGCAGUGGAAUGAUGUGGAAACAUGUCAGUGAGCAAUCACCGCUGUGAAGGUGCUGCAUGGUUGUCGUCAGCUCGUGCCGUGAGGUGUCGGCUUAAGUGCCAUAACGAGCGCAACCCUUAUCUUCAGUUACUAACAGGUCAUGCUGAGGACUCUGGAGAGACUGCCGUCGUAAGAUGUGAGGAAGGUGGGGAUGACGUCAAAUCAGCACGGCCCUUACGUCCGGGGCUACACACGUGUUACAAUGGGGGGUACAGAAGGCAGCUAGCGGGUGACCGUAUGCUAAUCCCAAAAUCCUCUCUCAGUUCGGAUCGAAGUCUGCAACCCGACUUCGUGAAGCUGGAUUCGCUAGUAAUCGCGCAUCAGCCACGGCGCGGUGAAUACGUUCCCGGGCCU
rnacentral:rRNA from 1 species